rnacentral:rRNA from 1 species
AUUGAACGCUGGCGGCAUGCUUUACACAUGCAAGUCGAACGGUAACAGGCCUUCGGGUGCUGACGAGUGGCGAACGGGUGAGUAAUGCAUCGGAACGUACCCAGAGGUGGGGGAUAACGCAGCGAAAGCUGUGCUAAUACCGCAUGUGAUCUGAGGAUGAAAGCGGGGGACCGAGCAGCAAUGUAUGGCCUCGCGCCUUUGGAGCGGCCGAUGUCGGAUUAGCUAGUUGGUGGGGUAAAGGCCUACCAAGGCGACGAUCCGUAGCUGGUCUGAGAGGACGACCAGCCACACUGGGACUGAGACACGGCCCAGACUCCUACGGGAGGCAGCAGUGGGGAAUUUUGGACAAUGGGCGCAAGCCUGAUCCAGCAAUGCCGCGUGCGGGAAGAAGGCCUUCGGGUUGUAAACCGCUUUUGGCAGGAACGAAACGGUGUCCGCUAAUACCGGGCGCUAAUGACGGUACCUGCAGAAUAAGCACCGGCUAACUACGUG